rnacentral:lncRNA from 1 species
CGUUUCCGGGAGCCCGGCGGACGCUGGGUCUGCAGAUGCCAUCCAGGCGCACGGCGGGUAUAGUGGUUCCGCAACCUUGGGAUGUUCGGCCGAGCGCCUGCCUAACAUGGGAGCGCCUGCCUAACCCUCCUGACUGGAGGGUCAGCGGCGGGGAGUCCUGGCCUUCAAUCGGCCAUCGCCACGGCAGAAACUGGGGCCCGGGCCUUCCCCGUCCGUCCACAGGUCUCAUGGGCGCCCGGACUGGGGCUGAUGUAGUUUCCCGACCUCUGACACAUAGAAUCUGGAGAUUAAAGCUGCUCUGCUAAUAAUUAGGUUCCCACCUCUCAAGAUCAUUAGGAGCUUCUUUUCCAAUUUCUCUGUUUUGCAUGCAUUGGAAGGAUCUGGAGCUCAGGACCCACUACCUCCCCGGCCCACUGCAAGCUUGAACAUUUGAUGGUGGACACCCCUCCCUGACUUUGUAUUAUGGUCCAGAUUUUGGAUGAAUCUCUAUAAUGGAGAUUGAACAGUGUCACUGGCGUGGGGGUUACCUUCCCACUAUGUCCCCCAGAAGACAUGAGGCCACAGACUGCAGUGCCCGUGGACAGAGGAGCUGUGGGGAUGGAAGUGUGAUUGCUUCAUUCAAAUGCACGCCCCGGUGCGUGUGCGUCUCUUCUGAUGCAGCGCCCCAUGGACUGAGCAUCGCCCUGUUACCCAGGCUAAAGUGCAGUGGGAAGAUCUCAGCUCACUGCAACCUCUGCCUCCAAGGUUCAAGAGAUUCUCCUGCCUCAGCCUCCCAAGUAGCUGGGAUAAACUAAACUAAACUACUAAACUAAACUAAACUAAACUAAACUGCUAAACUAAGGGGUUUGGAGGGCUCCUGGAUUAUUGAACACGUAAAGGUUCCUGGAGGGUGGUGCAGCCAGAGACGGCAUGGAAGCUCUGCACCCCUCCCCCAUAUCUUGCCCUAUGCAUCUCUUCCUUCUGGCUGUUAAUCUGUAUCCUUGUCAAUAUCCUUUAUAAUAAAUGGGUA